rnacentral:lncRNA from 1 species
CUGGAUUCCCAAUUCUAUUUCAUUGAUCUAUAUGUCUCUCCUUAUGCCUGGGCACACUGUCUUGAUUAUUGUAGCUUUGUAGGAUGCUUUGAGAUUGGGAAGUAGGAAUCAUCUACCUUUGUUCUUUUUUUCCUCAAGAUUAUCUUGGUUAUUCUGGGUCCCUUGCAUUCCUGUAUAAAUUUUAGACCCAGCCUGUCAAUUUCUGCAGAGAAGCCCCCUGGGAUUUUGAUAGGGAUUGCACUGAAUGCCCCCUAACAACAUUAUGUCUUCUGAUCCAUGAACACAAAUGUCUUUCCACUUAUGUAGAUCUUCUUUAACUUUUUUCAACAUGUUUUGCAGUUUUGGCUUGUAUUUGUGCAACUUGUAUAUGUGCAACGUGCCUGCACACGCAUGAUGCUCCCCGACAUAAGUGCUUUAAGGGGAAAUACAAUUUAAUUUCACAACAUGGUGGCCGUACCCACGCUGAUGCUCAGAGUUCGCUUAUCUAGGGAGGUUUAGCACAGGCUGAACAGCGGGCCCAGUAUGCCAAGGACUUCUGUGCCUGGACUUGCAGAAGAACCAUGGGUAGGCAAUUGAGUCCUUGCAGGCCAGCCUGGAGGCAGAGGCCAAAGGCUGGGCAGAGGCAAUUUGGCUGAAGAAGAAGAUGGAAACGGACCUGAAUGAGAUGGAAAUCCAGCUGGACCACGCCAAGAACAGCGAACUUGUGAAGACACCGAAAAGGCUGCAACAGCAAAUCAAGGUAGUGAUCUGGGAGAAGGAAGAACUAAAUCCAAAAGCAAGCCAUCCCGAGUCUGCGGGCUCACAGGGAGCCAACUCCACGCACGUCUUCAGCUAGCAUGAGAGUGAGAAUGCGGGCCAGCUGGCAGUCCAGGGAGCAGGAGACUUGGGGACUGAAUAAAUGAGAGGCCCCAACCACCAAAGUCCACAUCCUGGACCACUGUGAAGAGGGAAGAAAGGAGGGAAACAGGAAGUUGGGCCUGUCUUGAUUUUUAAAAUCACUUUUGACUUUUAUAAAUGAUUUCAGACAUAGAAAAAUGAACACAACAAAAAGCCAUGUACCCACCACUCACCUUAAGAAAUACACAUGAGUAGAGUUGAAGUCCCCCUUUCUUGGUUUCUGCCAUCGGGCGGUCUUUAAAGCACACGUAGUUGGAUCUAUGCAUUCAACACUUGUUUACUGGAGACCUGCCCUGUCCAGUCACUGUAUUAGGAGCUAGUGGUACGAGA